AGACAAGACGCCGCCCAGCCGGGUUGGAGGACGCAGUGUCCGGGGUGGGGUGGGGUCGUCCCCACCCUGGACCCUCCCACCAGGCCAACGGGCAGCCUGGGGAACCGGCUGCGAGUUCUAGCCUCUCUUUCUUUGUGUGGCCCUGGGCAAGUCCCUACUCCCAACCCGUCAGUUUCCUGUCGCUGUCUGUCGCCACGCCACCCCUGGGCCUUGGGGCGGGGUCCCCACACUCACACAAGCCAUGACUGAGGCACAGGAGGAUGUUCCUGAGGACCGCGGCACCAGCUGUCGGAAGACUCCACCCGAGAGAUGGGUCCUGGGCGGCUCCCACCCUUUUAACUGGCCCAGACCCCAGUGGGUCCCGCCCCCUGGAAGCUCGGCCAAUUGUAAGUCAGGACAGGGAUGGAGGCCACUGGAGGCGGAGACAAUGGACUUUUGAAGCAAGUUCUGGAGCAGAGGUGACCAAUCAAAGUGGAGACCCCCCUCCCCCAUUCCUUCUAGCCACUCCCCCAGGGUCCAGGCUCCACCUCCCAUUCUCCUUCAUCCCUCCCUACCCCCCCCAAAAAUUGCACUGUGGUGGGGACUCGGGGAAGCCAAUGGAAAAUAGUUUGAGGAUGAGCUAGGCCCAGAAGUUGGCGGGAAAGGGGCCUAGGGCCAGCAGGCUGAGCCCAGGGGGCACUCAGAGAAGAUCGCUAAGGGGGUGCAGGGUGCAUCAGGGAAUUCGAGCUGGGCAUCCUGAACCUGCCCCUGGCUGGGGACCAGGGCGUGGCCUGCUCCAGGGACCUCUGCAGAGGCCCAGGACCCAUUGACCAUAAGGCCCUGGCCCCACCCGGGCCUCUCCUGGAAGCAGGGAUUGUGGCUGUCGCAGUGCUCCUCACAGAGCUACAGAAAGGCUGGGCCAGUGCCAGGCCUGAGGCGGCGGCGGGCUCAAGGCUGAGGCCUCAGCCCUCCUGAGAGGUCUUCUGGGGAUUCAGCCCCUGCCUGACAGCCGCUGGCCUGUCUGAGAGGGUCUGGCUGGGAGGGGGCCCAGGGUGGGCCAGGCCAGGAGGGGUUGGGGGUCCUGCUCUGUGCAGCCCCGCCCACUCUCCUCACAGCUCUCUCUCCCAGGCCAGGCCUUUCCUUUCCCUCUCCAGUUAGCAGAUAUUUUACUGAGCACCUACCAUGUGUCCUGGCCCUGAGCUGGCCUCACAGGAUUCCAGGAUGAACUCCUCCCAGUCCCUGCUCAGGCAGCCCACUGCUGGGGGCAGAAUCUGGCCAUGAACACAAUCAAGACCUAGCGUGAUGUGGGCUCUAAGGGACGUCAUGAGCAAGCGCCAUGGUGGGAUGAGACUGUCCAGAACGCAAGAAGCAUGGAAGGGGGAGGAAGGUGCGGACCAGGAGUGACUCACAUCUGGAGGCCAGGCCAGCAAACCCACCCUGCCCUACGCUGCCCCCGAGCCCACCUUCCUCCAGAUGGCUGAAGCCCACCCUGGCAGAGGAAGCGUGACGGUGCAUGGGGCUGUGGGAAGACCCAGAGAGGAGGCCGGGCUGCACCCCACAAGCCCCUCACCCCUCCUCCCAGCCCAGGCGGCCGCCUCAGAAACCAAGCACAGCAGCUUCACUUUUUCCCCCAGGGCCUCGCCGAAACCUCAGCCUGGGGAGGGGUGGGCGGGGCCAGCUCCACCACCUUUCCUCUGCUUCCCUCCCGGGCCCAGACACCCCUCGCCAGAUGGAGGAGCCCUGCCCGGGGGCCAGAGCUGCUUCAGGCACAGUCCUCGCCCGCCUGCCAUCAGGAGGCCUGGCUGGCUGGGCUCUCAGGGCCCCAAGAGCAGCUUCUCCUGACCUGGAAGAUGGCCCAGCACCAGGAAGUGUGUGCUGUUGGACGAGGGGCUGCUUUCUUCUCCUCCAGGGUCAGGCCAGCCGAGGGCUGGUAGAGAGGCAGCGUGGCAUUGUGAACAGGCCCCUAGGGGAGUCUGGGGACUUGGAUUCUGGUCUGAGCCCUGCUGCACUCUCCCCAGGGCAUCCUGGCAAGUUGCUUCUCCAGGCUUGCCUCAGUCUCCCCAUCUGUAAAUGCAGGAGGUGAGACCCUGCUCUCCCACACAAGGUUAGUAGAGGAUGGCACUCAGGUCUGUGAUACUAAGCACAUGAUUGGUUUUUUUCAUGGUCUCAGAAGGUUUUAGCCUCCUCUUGUCUGUUUUCCCAGGCCGAGUUUACCUUCCUGGGGUCAACACUGCUGGGAGGUCUCCCCCCAGCCCCUCUCCUCCCCAACAGCCCCCUCCUGCCUGGGCUGCGGUGGGGAGUCUCUCCGGAUUCCAGUGUCCCCUGUAACAAGGCCUGUGGUUUUCCGGGGGGAGGCAGGGACAAGGUGUCCUGCAUGCCCACCCCCGCCCCAUCCUCAGGGCCUCCACGGGUGGCGCCCUCUUAUCUGCCAGGCCUGUGCCCGGCGCCUUGCUUUCAUGCGCUAUCUCCUUUCUUCUUCACCUCCCUGCUGCUUCGUGUCUGCCAGCUGGGUUGAACUCUGUGCAGGGAAGCUGCUCUGGGCCGUGAAACGAAGCCGCUGUCAGAAUCGGGAGAAGAGAGGCAAGUCCUGAUUUGGGGGCUGCCUGGCUGUGGCUGUGGCCAAGCUCCUUGACCUCUCUGAACCGUUCCCAGGCCUGGCGAGUGGGAGUGUUACCCAUUCGCCGGCUGACGAGAGGAUUCCAGGGGUGGCAUGUGAGGGACUCAACUUUAGUGCUCUCUCCUGCAGCCCCCACCCGGGGCCGAGGCCCCCACCCUGGAGACUCUCCUCCCCCUCUCUGCCUGCAGCAGAGGCAGCCAGCUCUCUGGAAUUCCUCCAUCCUGCAGGCUGGACCUUGGCUGCUGCCGUGAGAAAUGAGCUCAGCAACUUUGGACGGGGAUCCAGGCCCGUGCAGCCCUUCUCCGCCUGCCUCCUCCCCCCCUGCCCGCUCUGGCCCUUUCUCUGUGAAGGCUGCGCCUCCUCCAGCUGGAAGCGGUGGGGAGGGCUGCCAGGCCCACGCCGAUACCGUCCACAGCCCCCGGCCCCCAGCCAACCUGGCUGGCCCGGCCUGGGCAGGUGGGGGUGAUCAGCGCCAGCUCCAGAGUCCCAGAAAUCGGAGCAGGGAGGGACCCUCGGCAUACCACGCCUGACCUCCUCCUCGGAUGAUGCGAAAACCACCAGCAAGAGUGGCUACUUGACCAAGGCCACACAGGGAGCUGGGGCUGAAGUCCUUUCACCUGCUAAGCCAAAGAGAGAACACUGUGGCCCUGGGGUACCGGGACCUCAGAAAUGAUCUCUUUGGGAUCUUGCUCCAUGAAGGGUAGGAAGGACUAGCGGGGAGGUGCCCCCAGCUUCAGGCACUUUUCCAGCUGGUUUGUGCGGGAGACGACCCUCACUUACCUGCUUGUUCAUUUUCACCUCUCUGCCUCCUUCUCACACACAGUGGACCUCUGUCACUCUCGCCCCCCCCCCCCCGGUCUCUGCCCCCUGCCUGUGGGGAUCUGCUCCUCCUCGCACGUGAGGUCUGGGUGGUCCAGCCCGUCUCAGUCAUGAGCCCUCCAGGGCUCGGGCAGGAGCGCUUUCUGCUUUUUUUUUUUUUUUAAUGUCUUCUUUUAAAAUAAUUAUAGACUCACAGGAAUAUAAGAGCUUUUCAAGAGCUUAGAAAAUAUUUGAGACCUGGAGAAACAAUGUAUUGGAUCCAAAAUACUAAAACAGCAGAGCUGAAAUUAAUCAGUGUUUACUGCGCUCAAAUGAAAACUCACUGGUCAUAAACACUGUGUUACAUUUGGAAACAAUUUGGUAGGUUGAAUUUUCUUACUUCAAAGAUGUGCCCAAGUAUUCCUAGAGGCUGGUCACCCCUCAGUGAGAUCCCCACAGCUAAAUAAUGUCUACUUUGAAAAAUGUGGAGCAAAAAAACCCACCCCUAUGUAUAUAUAUUGAAGGUGGGCUUUGGGUGCAUUUUAGUGUUUUCUAUCCUGGGUCUGGGGUCUGUGUAUCAGCAGAGUUUUUGGCUACAAGGAAUAGAAAAAUCAACAGAAAUUGCUUUAAAAUUAAGGAAAAUUAUCAUAUAACAAGAAGUCUGGAGCUAAGAGUUUCUGUGGCAGGUUAGCUCAGUGGCUGGGUGAAAUCAUCGAAGGGCCGGGUCUGUCUGAUCGUGGGUGGUGGCGCGGAGGCGGUCCUUGCUCUUCUGCACGGCCACAUCCACGAUUAGCCCUUGCUCUUAGGCAGACGAGCUAGAGGAUUUGGGCUGAACUGUCUUUACAUCUGCACUGUACUCUCGUGUGGAUCAGUUUAAACACGUAGGGGCUGGCCUGGGGGCAUAGUGGAUAAGUUUGUGCGUUCUGCUUUCGCAGCCUGGGGUUCACAGGUUCAGAUCCUGGGCACGGACCUACACACUGCUCAUCAAGCCAUCCUGUCAUGGUGUCCCAUAUAUAAAAUAAGGGAAGAUUGGCAUGGAUGUUAGCUCAGGGACAAUCUUCCUCACCCAAAAAAAAAAAAAAAAGUUAAAAUAUAUAAAGGGCAAUUAAGCAGACUGGCAAAUAUUAACAACUGGGACUCCAGAUGAGGGGCAUAUGGGUGUUCAUUGUGCCAUUCUUGCACCUUUUCUGUUGGUUUGGAAUGUUUAUAAAUUAAAAGUUUAAAAGGGGAGUGUGACAUAAUAAGAAAUGUAUAUUUGGUUUCUGACCCCAGUUCCUGACCCAGAACUCCUAAAACGCUUGUAAUUUCCUGAGUUACAGGGGUGCUAGGAGCAUCUUUUGUUCUAAUAUUUGGCCUCUGACCCCAGUUCCUGACCCCGGGCUCCCGAUCCCCUGUAACUUCCUGGGCGAUGGGAGGGUCUUUUGUUCUAAUGAGGUAGCUCUUGGUGGGCUCCUGGACGGUUUCAUGACGUGGGCUGGUCACCAGAGACCGAGGCACGACUGGAAGGUUAGAACUUUCGGCCCCGCACCCCAUCCCCCGGGGAGGGACGAGGGGCUGGAGAUGGAGUUCCUGAUCGCUCGUGCCCCGACCCUGAAGCUUCCACAAAAGCCCCUGGACCACAGGUUUGGGGAGGCCUCUGGGCUGCGAACACAUCUGCCUGCAGGGAGGGUGACGCACCCAACGCCAUGGGGACAGAAGCUCCUGCCCUGGGGACCCUUCUGGACCUCACCCUCUGCAUCUCUUCACCUGGCUGCUCAUCUGUAUCCUUCAUCACAUCCUUUAUAAUAAAUUGGUAAACCUAAGUGUUUCCCUGAGUUUUUUGAGCCCUUAUAGCAAAUUAUCGAAACUGAGAAGGGGGUUGUGGGAACCCCUGAUUUAUGGCCAGUUGGUCAGAAGUGCAGGUGACAACCUGGGACUUGUGACUGGCAUCUGAAGUGGGGAGCAGUCUUGUGGGCCUGAGCCUCUCACCUGUGGGGUCUGUGCUGACCCCGGGGAGUGUCAGAAUUGAAUUAAGCUGUAGGACACCCAGUUGGUGUCUGUAGAAAACUGGAGAAUUGUUGGUGUAGAAAACCCACGGAGCUGGUGUCAGUAUCCUGUGGUUAGAGGACAGCUUUCCCUUUUAGUUGGUGUCAGAGAAGUGGGAUUUGCUAGAAUGGCCCUGGCUCAUGGAAACGUGGUUUGGGAAGAGAAAGGGUGAAAGGGCUGGGGGUGAGGAAACUUUGACUCCUGGGCGGCCACGUGGUCACCCAUGGUCCAGAGCAGAAGCUGUGUCACUCAGUUUCUGAAGGCUGCAGUCCCCCGGAGCUGGCUUACUGGAUGCAUAAGGAAAUGUAAAAAAAGCAAAAUAUAUGGUCCCUUGGUCGUGGUUAUUUGUAAUAGCUACGAUGAAAUCAAGAGCGCCGGGUAGGCCCUUGAUGCUGGACCAAACUCAAGACGUCAGUGAGUCUGAGCUUCAGCCACUUGCCUCAAAGCCACCCCAAAGGGCAAAUGCAGGGACAACAGAAAGUACCUCUCAGGCCUGUGGUCACCAAGAGUCGUCAACACUGGGGCAAGGCAGAGCCAGGAAACUGCUGGAACCGGGGGGGUUUAGUGUGAAGGAGCUGUUUCAUUUUGUGGAUCGGUGCCAUCAGCUUCCUGACAUCUUAACAACUGAAUCCAGGCGAAGGGCAUGUGGGUGCUCAUUGUCCAUUCUUGCAUUUUUUUUUCUGUCGGGUUGAAACUCUUUUAAAUUGAAAGUUGGGGGGAAUAAUGCCAACAAGUGCUUCCCGUCUUUCUGCUCUGCCACCUGAAGCAGAGUCACGAAGCAGAGAAAUAUGCUGGGUCAUGCCUCAUGAUCACAGAAUGGCUGCAACAGCUUCCACACUCAAAGCCCAGAAGAGUGAGUCCCUCGUCCACGUCCUUCUUUAAAAGUGAGGCAAACAUUCCCAGAAUCUCUUAGAUCUCCCCCAGAAGUAUGUCACAAGUCCAUGGCUAAACUAAUCACCGGCCAGAGGGACUCAAAUAACCAUUAUUGGUUUAGAUUCAAGCUUUAAACUACUCAAGAUUCACUACCUGGGACUGGGUACCCCCCACCGUGUGCUCCCCUGAAGGAAAUCCCAAUUCCAUCAGCGAGGAAGAAGGUGGGCAGUGGCUGCUAGGUCCAGAGUAGGGCCAGGGAGGCAUCACUCCCUUCCUCUUGGGGGCACAUGACCCAGGCUGGGCUUUAUGCCUGGGCACAGGUUCUGGCCAGCGAGUCUGCCUUCGGAUGCUGGUCCAGUGAGAGGCACCCACUGUCUGGAAGGCGUCACAGCUGAGGGACCCCUGCAGGGGCUGGACACGUCGGAGGGCAGCCGGUCAACUCCCCUGUGCCUCAGCCAGGUCGAGCUGAGUUCCUGUAGCUGCCACCAGUCUUGGCGAGUGCACAUUCGCUCUGACCUCACGACGCAGCCAAGAAAAUCCCACUGGGGAGGAUUUCCCAGACCUCGAAGUGCUCCCCCCCGACCUUGCAAAUAAGGAAACAGGCUGAGCAGGAAGGGGCUCAUGAAAGCUCAAGGGACAAGUGACAGUAGCCUGGAACAGCCAAGGUGUCUCCCCACUCAGCAUCUGUGGGCCUUUCCGGGCUGACGGUGUAACACCUGCUCCGCAGGAGGCACUGGGGAUGGAGCCACGAGCGGCCCCCACCCGGAGGAGCUGGGGGUCAGCAGGGCGGACAUCCACAGCAGCAUCCCACGUGAGAAGGAUGCCUGAAGGGGGGCACCCACAGCACCUCACCUGAGUGCCCGGACAGCGAGGACCUGUCUCCCUGAGUCUCUACAGAGGGGGCUGCCGCUGCCUGGUCAGCCAGACAAGCCCAAACACUGCCCCAGGUGACCACGCUUUCCAGACGCACGCCCUGGUGUAAGCUAGCAGUGCGUUUCCGGUCCUCCAUCCCCCAAGGAGUAAAACAGGACGAGAAAUACAAGCUUGCCGGGUUUCCGAAGGACUGAAACAAAUAGGUAUGUAAAGACUCAGCGAGGCCUAAAGCGCUACCGAGUCACGGUGUACCGCACA